GUCAGGCAUGGUGGCUCAUGCCUGUAAUCCUAGCACUUUGGGAGGCUGAGGCAGGAGGAUCACUUGAGCCCAGGAGUUUUGGGCUGCAGUGAGCUAUGAUCGUGCCACUGCACUCCAGCCUGAGCAACAGAGAAAGACUCUAUCUCUG
ensembl:misc_RNA Metazoa_SRP Metazoan signal recognition particle RNA